ACAAGCAAAGGAAACUGUUGUAAUGUCAGACGAGAUUAAUGAAAUUAUGAUCAAAGAUGAUAAGAGAUGACUGCAGAUGGUAGAGACUGAAAUGAAUACACAAGCAGGAAAAAAACCUCUCAUCUCCUGGAGAUCAGUCUGAUAAAAGACUGGGGAAAAAGCAGGGAAAGGAACUUUUUCUUUUUUUCUUUAAACAGGAAUGAAGCAUGGCCAACUGGAAACGAGGAUGGAAUAUGAUUUAAUGAAGAUAUAACAGGCAAAUAAGUUGCCAGACUUCUCUGCCAGUGGCCGAGGCGGCAGGACAGGCUUCACCCCCCCCCCACCUCAGGGCUAGGCUGGGCCUGUCUACCAAACAUGGAGAUGCUAGCAGCUUGGAAGAAGCCAGAGUCCGGCUUUCUUGCAGUUGGGCUGAAGGCUCAAAGGUGGUUUGUGACCUCUGACAUCAAGUCCCCCAGAAGCAGUGCCCUUUGGUGCCUCAGAGACGGAGAGCCAUCUGAUGGAGCAAUUUAUUGUUUCUGGUCUUUCUCAAGUCAAGCACAAACAUGGUAUUUCCAUCUCCUGCUGUUUACCUCUGAGACUGAUGCCUGAUAUUCCAAAGUGCAUGUCUACUCUGCAUAAAGCAGGGGGGUGAGGCCUCCCAAGCAACUUCUCCUGCUCCUACAAGACUUCACUGAUUUUGUUCACACUGGCAAAAUGAUAAAAAUUCCUGGCAUGUACUGUAGCUUCCCGCUUUAGUCUCUCUUUCGAAAACACUUUCUAAAUGCACAUACAUAUCUACAUAUCAUUGUUUAAAAUGUUUUUAUAUAUGUAACUGUUUUAUAUACAUUUUUAUUAUAUCCUGAACUGCUUCAGGAGCCUCAUGGGAAGCAAUCCCUAAAUGAAAAUUAAUUAAAUAAAUAUGCAUAAGAAUAAUAAAGGUUUUGGUUCCCAGGA